GACGAACGCUGGCGGCGUGCUUAACACAUGCAAGUCGAACGGAAAGGCCCUGCUUUUGUGGGGUGCUCGAGUGGCGAACGGGUGAGUAACACGUGAGUAACCUGCCCUUGACUUUGGGAUAACUUCAGGAAACUGGGGCUAAUAUAGGAUCGGAGCUCCUGCUGCAUGGUGGGGGUUGGAACGUUUCGGCGGUUGGGGAUGGACUCGCGGCUUAUCAGCUUGUUGGUGGGGUAGUGGCUUACCAAGGCUUUGACGGGUAGCCGGCCUGAGAGGGUGAACGGCGACAAGAGGACUGAGAUAGGGACCAGACGCCAACGGGAGGCAGCAGUGGGGAAUAUUGCACAAUGGGCGGAAGCCUGAGGCGGCAACGCCGCGUGCGGGAUGACGGCCUUCGGGUUAUGAACCGCUUUCGCCUGUGACGAAGCGUGAGUGACGGUAAUGGAUAAAGAAGCACCGGCUAACUACGUG
rnacentral:rRNA from 1 species